rnacentral:rRNA from 1 species
UCAGCGGCGGACGGGUGAGUAACACGUGGGCAACCUGCCUGUAAGACUGGGAUAACUCCGGGAAACCGGGGCUAAUACCGGAUAACUCUUUUCCUCACAUGAGGAAAAGCUGAAAGAUGGUUUCGGCUAUCACUUACAGAUGGGCCCGCGGCGCAUUAGCUAGUUGGUGAGGUAACGGCUCACCAAGGCCACGAUGCGUAGCCGACCUGAGAGGGUGAUCGGCCACACUGGGACUGAGACACGGCCCAGACUCCUACGGGAGGCAGCAGUAGGGAAUCUUCCGCAAUGGACGAAAGUCUGACGGAGCAACGCCGCGUGAGUGAUGAAGGUUUUCGGAUCGUAAAACUCUGUUGUCAGGGAAGAACAAGUACCGGAGUAACUGCCGGUACCUUGACGGUACCUGACCAGAAAGCCACGGCUAACUACGUGCCAGCAGCCGCGGUAAUACGUAGGUGGCAAGCGUUGUCCGGAAUUAUUGGGCGUAAAGCGCGCGCAGGCGGUUCCUUAAGUCUGAUGUGAAAGCCCCCGGCUCAACCGGGGAGGGUCAUUGGAAACUGGGGAACUUGAGUGCAGAAGAGAAGAGUGGAAUUCCACGUGUAGCGGUGAAAUGCGUAGAGAUGUGGAGGAACACCAGUGGCGAA